rnacentral:rRNA from 1 species
UAGCAUAUCAAUAAGCGGAGGAAAAGAAACCAACAGGGAUUGCCCCAGUAACGGCGAGUGAAGCGGCAACAGCUCAAAUUUGAAAUCUGGCCUCGGCCCGAGUUGUAAUUUGCAGAGGAUGCUUCUGGCGCGGUGCCUUCCGAGUUCCCUGGAACGGGACGCCACAGAGGGUGAGAGCCCCGUAUGGUCGGACACCAAGCCUGUGUGAAGCUCCUUCGACGAGUCGAGUAGUUUGGGAAUGCUGCUCUAAAUGGGAGGUAAAUCUCUUCUAAAGCUAAAUACCGGCCAGAGACCGAUAGCGCACAAGUAGAGUGAUCGAAAGAUGAAAAGCACCUUGAAAAGGGGGUUAAAUAGUACGUGAAAUUGUUGAAAGGGAAGCACUUGUGACCAGACUUGGGCCGGGCGGCUCAUCAGGGGUUCUCCCCUGUGCACUCCGCCCGGCACAGGCCAGCAUCGGUUUUCGCGGGGGGAUAAGACCGCCGGGAACGUAGCACCCUCCGGGGUGUGUUAUAGCCCGGCGGACGAUACCCCCGCGGGGACCGAGGUCCGCGCUCCGCAAGGAUGCUGGCGUAAUGGUCACCAGUGACCCGUCUUGAAACACGGACCAAGGAGUCGUCCAUUAGAGCGAGCGUUUGGGUGUAAAACCCGCACGCGUAAUGAAAGUGAACGCAGGUGAGAGCUUCGGCGCAUCAUCGACCGAUCCUGAUGUUCUCGGAAGGAUUUGAGUAAGAGUUUUAACGGACGGACCCGAAAGACAGUGAACUAUGCUUGUAUAGGGUGAAGCCAGAGGAAACUCUGGUGGAGGCUCGCAGCGGUUCUGACGUGCAAAUCGAUCGUCAAAUAUGAGCAUGGGGGCGAAAGACUAAUCGAACUGUCUAGUAGCUGGUUACCGCCGAGU